AUUGAACGCUGGCGGCAGGCCUAACACAUGCAAGUCGAGCGGUAGAGAGGUGCUUGCAUCUCUUGAGAGCGGCGGACGGGUGAGUAAUGCCUAGGAAUCUGCCUAGUGGUGGGGGAUAACGUUCGGAAACGGACGCUAAUACCGCAUACGUCCUACGGGAGAAAGCGGGGGAUCUUCGGACCUCGCGCCAUUAGAUGAGCCUAGGUCGGAUUAGCUAGUUGGUGAGGUAAUGGCUCACCAAGGCGACGAUCCGUAACUGGUCUGAGAGGAUGAUCAGUCACACUGGAACUGAGACACGGUCCAGACUCCUACGGGAGGCAGCAGUGGGGAAUAUUGGACAAUGGGCGAAAGCCUGAUCCAGCCAUGCCGCGUGUGUGAAGAAGGUCUUCGGAUUGUAAAGCACUUUAAGUUGGGAGGAAGGGUAGGUAACCUAAUACGUUGCUACUUUG
rnacentral:rRNA from 1 species